rnacentral:rRNA from 1 species
GUGAGGAAUUUUCCGCAAUGGGCGAAAGCCUGACGGAGCAAUGCCGCGUGAAGGAUGAAGGCCUAUGGGUUGUAAACUUCUUUUCUCAGAAAAGAAUUAUGACGGUAUCUGAGGAAUAAGCAUCGGCUAACUCUGUGCCAGUAGCCGCGGUAAGACAGAGGAUGCAAGCGUUAUCCGGAAUGAUUGGGCGUAAAGCGUCUGUAGGUUGUUUAAAAAGUAUUCUGUCAAAGAUUAGGGCUUAACCCUAGAUAGGCAGAAUAAACUUUUAAGCUAGAGUUUGGUAGAGGCAGAGGGAAUUCCCGGUGGAGCGGUGAAAUGCGUAGAUAUCGGGAGGAACACCAAAGGCGAAGGCACUCUGCUGGGCCAAUACUAACACUGAGAGACGAAAGCGAGGGGAGCAAAUGGGAUUAGAAACCCUGGUAGUCC